AAACUCCUAGAAAACCUCUCAAAAUUCCUCUACAUCAUCUAUCGUUCCCGCUCCCCCAAAACAAUUCACCGCUAGGGUUUUGUCGAGCCACUGCUAUCACCAUGGAUCUCUCAAACGCGAAGAAUCGCAGUUGGGUCGGAUUCAACGGUUCAGGUUCCUUCAGCAAUAGCUUUUGGAAGUGGUGAAGGGUUUAGGGUUCUUACGGCAUCACAAAUUUCUGUGGCCCUAGUUGAGGGAUCUAUGGUGGCUUUGGAAUGUGGCUCGAGUUCCGAGAUCAAUCGACCAUAUUAAUGGCAGGCUGACUGAAGCUGAUUGCCGAGGCAUGAAGGUUGAGGUCACUGCCCUGGGAAGAGAGGAUCAAUGCGGAGAAAUGAGGCAUACAACAAAGUUUGGGAGCAAUGCUCCAGCUGGUUGUGCUGAAUGCAAGGUAUGAUCUUCUUUGACGGUUUGCAAACUUUGUGGAUGCUUCUCUGCAUAUUUGUUCUGUGGUAUGGCAUAUUCUCAGAUUGUUAGUUAUGUCCGUUAUUAGAAUACUUGUAGCUUGUUAGUACAUUUAAACUUCGUACCUGAAACAAUUUUAAUGGUGGAGAUGUUGCUAUUAUUAAUUUCUUUUUCCCCUUUAUUAUGAGUGUGAUUCUCUCCUUUCGAUAUAAAUAUCCCGCCUUCCUAUUCUUGUCUGCUGUUGCUUUGUACCUUCAUUUCCCACUUUUGUUUUGAUUAAUAUUUUUUUUUUGCUUAUGACAACUGGGUGAUCAUGGUAAUUUCGAAUAAAAUGGUUGUUAUGUGCAAGUACUUUGUGAAAUAUACCAUUCUGAAGCCUGUUUCAUUGUUUUGUUACCUGACACGGUUAGAAAAUUCAGUAGACCUUCUGUCAGCCUUGCAAUGCAUUGCAUUUUGUUUAUUUGUUGAAUGAUGAUUGUCUUUAGCCGAUCACUAGAACUGCUAUAGGUUACCAUUUUGUAGCAUGUGUUUAGAAUGCUCUUUUUUUCUUGUGGGAAGAAUGAAAUCCAAAAGUACGCAAGUUUUAAUAUAUUUGUAACUGGGUAGGGUAACUAAAUUUUCUGUAGUAAUUGUUAAAAUCUACACUCAGUACCAUUUCUGUUGCCCUUGUAAUUAUACUUUUAUUGAUAGAACUGCAGAUCAUAAAUUCACAGAUCAUAAAUUCAGAUCAUGGAGUCUUUGGUGAUAGAACUGCAGAUCAUAAAUUCGAAGAUCAUAAAUUCAGAUCAUGGAGUCUUUGGUGAUAGAUCUGCAGAUCAUAAAUUCAUCUUCUUUAAUAUAUGUAAAAAAAUGUUAUUUUUAAUGUGCUGAUUACAAGUUUUAUUUGUGGCC